GACGAACGCUGGCGGCGUGCUUAACACAUGCAAGUCGAACGGAAAGGCCCUGCUUUUGUGGGGUGCUCGAGUGGCGAACGGGUGAGUAACACGUGAGUAACCUGCCCUUGACUUUGGGAUAACUUCAGGAAACUGGGGCUAAUACCGGAUAGGAGCUCCUGCUGCAUGGUGGGGGUUGGAAAGUUUCGGCGGUUGGGGAUGGACUCGCGGCUUAUCAGCUUGUUGGUGGGGUAGUGGCUUACCAAGGCUUUGACGGGUAGCCGGCCUGGGAGGGUGACCGGCCACAUUGGGACUGAGAUACGGCCCAGACUCCUACGGGAGGCAGCAGUGGGGAAUAUUGCACAAUGGGCGGAAGCCUGAUGCAGCAACGUCGCGUGCGGGAUGACGGCCUUCGGGUUGUAAACCGCUUUCGCCUGUGACGAAGCGUGAGUGACGGUAAUGGGUAAAGAAGCACCGGCUAACUACGUG
rnacentral:rRNA from 1 species